CCUACGGGAGGCAGCAGUGGGGAAUAUUGCGCAAUGGGCGCAAGCCUGACGCAGCAACGCCGCGUGAGGGAAGAAGGCUUUCGGGUUGUAAACCUCUUUUCUCAGGGACGAAGCAAGUGACGGUACCUGAGGAAUAAGCCACGGCUAACUACGUGCCAGCAGCCGCGUUAAUACGUAGGUGGCAAGCGUUAUCCGGAUUUACUGGGUGUAAAGGGCGGGUAGGCGGGACUGCAAGUCAGAUGUGAAAGCCACGGGCUCAACCUGUGGCCUGCAUUUGAAACUGUAGUUCUUGAGUGCUGGAGAGGCAGGCGGAAUUCCUAGUGUAGCGGUGAAAUGCGUAGAUAUUAGGAGGAACACCAGUGGCGAAGGCGGUCUGCUGGACAGCAACUGACGCUGAGGCGCGAAAGCGUGGGGAGCAAACAGGAUUAGAUACCCCGGUAGUC
rnacentral:rRNA from 1 species